CCUCGGAUGCCUGGCUUAGCGCCGGAAGAAGUUCCUGAGGCCUAACCCUCGGAUGUCUGGCUUAGCGCCGGAAGAAUUCCCUGAGGCCUAACCCUCAGAUACCUGGCCUAGCGCCAGAAGAAUUUCAAGAGUCGGGAGUCAGCGAGACGCUACCAAGAGUUAAAAAGAAGGACGAAAGUGAAAUGAAGAAACUCUAUUUGCAUUAACUUUCAUUGUUUUAGGGCCGAGACCCAUACAACUUGGCAAAACGCCAACACACAAAGAAAAGAACAAAAAUACAGAAGGUCAGCUUGGAGAAACCCCCGGGUCGGGAACGCCGGGCACGUCCGCAGGGGGUAGGGAGGCGGUUGGAGAAUCAGCAGACAAUGGCGCCGGAGAGGAGUCUAGAAGAGAGAUCCCAC
rnacentral:lncRNA from 1 species